UGCAUCGGCCGGGAAUCGAAGCAUAUAGCAAUAGCAGGCGAGCAUUCUACCACUGAACCACCGAUGC